AUUGAACGCUGGCGGCAGGCCUAACACAUGCAAGUCGAGCGGAGCGGCGGACGGGUGAGUAAUGCAUAGGCAUCUGACUGGUAGUGGGGGAUACCGUCCGGAAACGGGCGCUAAUACCGCAUACUCUCAUAUGAGCCUAGGUCGGAUUAGCGAGUUGGUGGGGUAACGGCCUACCAAGGCGACGAUCCGUACCUGGUCUGAGAGGAUGAUCAGUCACACUGGAACUGAGACACGGUCCAGACUCCUACGGGAGGCAGAAGUGGGGAAUAUUUGACAAUGGGCGAAAGCCUGAUCCAGCCAUGCCGCGUGUGUGAAGAAGGUCUUCGGAUUGUAAAGCACUUUAAGUUGGGAGGCGUUACCAACAGAAUAAGCACCGGCUAACUUCGUGCCAGCCGCCGCGGUAAUAC
rnacentral:rRNA from 1 species